UGAGGAAUAUUGGUCAAUGGGCGCAAGCCUGAACCAGCCAUCCCGCGUGCAGGAAGACGGCGCUAUGCGUUGUAAACUGCUUUUCCAGGGAGAGAAACUUGCGCACGUGUUGCGCAAUUGACGGUACCCUGGGAAUAAGCAUCGGCUAACUCCGUGCCAGCAGCCGCGGUAAUACGGAGGAUGCGAGCGUUAUCCGGAUUCAUUGGGUUUAAAGGGUGCGUAGGCGGACUAUUAAGUCAGUGGUGAAAUCCUGCAGCUUAACUGCAGAACUGCCAUUGAUACUGAUAGCCUUGAGUUUGGUUAAGGUAGGCGGAAUGUGUAAUGUAGCGGUGAAAUGCUUAGAUAUUACACAGAACACCAAUUGCGUAGGCAGCUUACUAGGCCAUAACUGACGCUCAGGCACGAAGGCGUGGGGAUCAAACAGG
rnacentral:rRNA from 2 species